UCUCAACCACUGCGCCACCAGGCAAGCCCAGUAUUGCUAUCCAAUUUCUGUGUGCAUUUGUGCCAGAGAUUCUCUAGGCCAGAUACCUGGAAGGAAAGAAACUGGGUGAUGGCGAUUACCUUCAACUUUACAAGAAAUGAUUCUGGAAACACCAACAGGCUUGCAUCCUUACGUGAGGCAGAGGAUCUUUGGAGAUGGACAUAGAAGGGCGAUGCUAGUUCCUCAACACCUCCAGUGGAAAGACCUGCUCUGGCAGCCAAAGAAAGUCCGCAGAAGAGAAUUGCAGGCGCUGACACUGGAAGCCAGAUUGGUGUGCAUGGAAAUGCCACACCAACCUUCUGCCACCACCACCCUGAUGGGUCAGCGGCCAUCGACGUUAAGGAAUGGAAGUUCCAUGAGGGAUAGACUUUGUCUGUCUUGGGAUCCAUCUUGGGAUCCUCAGCAUCUAAGACAGUGCCCAGCACUGGUACCUGCUCAAUAGUUGACUAAAAUGAUGGAACCAUAUUUGUGAAUGAUUGACUGAAGGAAUGAAUGGAGAAAUGAAAAAAAAUGAAGGAACAAAUGAGCUAACACAGCUACAGCUUCUAUUUUGAUGCGUGGACUACUCCUGCUUGUUUGAGCACCAUCAGAUCAUGAAUAAUGUAUGCAGCAAACCAGUUCCAAGAACCGUUUUUUCCAUAGGUUUCUUAAUGGACUAGUGCCAUUGUUUGUACCGUAUCGCUGCCCUCCACGAAGUAAGAAUUCGGCAUUUUCAUCUGACAUCUUUGGGUCAUGUCUUCUGUUUCCCCAAAAGCAUACCCUGAGACAAGGACUUGGGAACCGAUCACUCAAUUGGGAGGUGACCCCAGGAUGCACGAGUGAAGGAGUGGGGAAUGAGGUGCUAAAACCACCACCAAAUUGAAGAAAUUAACUACUCAAUGAUACGGAGCACGUGGUCCCAGACCUACCGGAGCCUAAGGACUGAUACUGUCAAACCCCUGUGACACCGCCCUGUUACUUCGCCAUCAACUAGGAAUCAGAGAACUGUGCAUGAGCUAAUCACAUACCCUGGGACGCCCCUCCUUCACCUGCCCUUUGAAAAUGCUUUGCUGAAACCCUGCGGAGAGUUCGGGUUUUUUCAGCACCAACUGUCCUGAACUCCUUUCUUGGUACCCUGUGAUAAACGUUGCCCUUCCCUUCACCACAGCCUGGCGUCAGGAGAUUGGCUUUACUGCUUGCGGGCCAGUGGACCCAAGUUUUGUUCGGUACCAUCAACAGUCAGGUUUGGAAGCAUCUCCAUCUUUGCACAGCAGUGCUUGUACCAUUAUUUGAAUGUUUUAUUACAUUUUUCUUUAUUAUUUUAUAAAAAUGUCAGUGAGAGAAGCCUGCAUCUCAAACACAAUAUAGAUUUUUAAGCAUGCUGAAAGCUGAUAAUCUUUAACUUUAUUUAGACGUUCAUCAGACUUAGACAUGUAGACUUCGUUAAUUGUGAAGAAAAUGAAUAAAAAUAAUAAACAUCUCCAAAAUG